rfam:Dipodomys ordii contig_27014, whole genome shotgun sequence.
GGUGGCUCAGUGGUAGAGCUCUUGCCUUGCAUGCAUGAGGCCUUGGGUUCGAUUCCUCAGCACCA